AUGUAUACCUUUGUGUUUCUAUGGACUCCUGCAUUGAGUCCAAAUGAUAAAGAGAUUCCCCAUGGUUUUAUUUUUGCAACAUUCAUGUUAUCGUCAAUGUUGGGAAGCUCACUUGCAUCUAAGUUGAUGGCUCGUUCAUCAUUCCGUGUAGAGAGCUACAUGCAGAUUGUUUUUGUAGUUUCUUCUGCUUCUCUAAUGCUUCCUAUUCUUACAACCUUUUUCGCACUUCCUACCAAAGCAACCAGUUCAGCCCUGCAUAGAAAGAUUAAAAAGCAAAAAUCAAUACACAGUUAA